GUAUAUAACUACUAUAUAUAAGUCACAGACUCACAGUAUUUGUGCCAGUAGACAUACCUGAGUCCUACUCCUGCCUGUUCCUAGUGCAUGCUACUGAACAAAGAGCAAAGAGCAAAGAGGGGAGAUGAGCAGGGGAGGAGCUGGGAGGGAAGGGAGCUCACCUUGGGGACUUGGGGUGGCCGGCGGGGAGGUGUUCCAGUCGAGGACGAGCAGGGCAGCGGCGGCACGUUGGGGAAGAGCAGGGGACGAACUUGGAGGAGCAGGGGAGGAGCAGGACCAGCGGGAGGAGGAGCAGGACCAGCGGGGGCGCCUCGGGGAUGAGCAGGGGAAGAGAUUGGAGGAGCAGGGAGGUCGCCGCGCUCCCUUCUAUUCUCCCGCGCCUCCGUUUUGUGGCCGCGCGCGCGCCUGGCCGCGCGGGAAAUUCUCCCGCUCUCCGAUUUGGCGCGCUAAAUUGGCCGCGCUCGCGCUCGCGCCCGCCUCCGCGCCGCCCAGCGCGCCUCCGCGCCGCCUAGCGCCGCCCAGCGCCUGGAAGCGCGACUAUGGCCAUAGUCGAGGCGACGGGCUUCGCCUAGCGCCUAAUCGCCGCCUAGUCAACGCCUAGCCGAACCUUGGCCCUAACAAAGUGAAUCAUCCCAAUCUAAGCGAAGUGAAGAGGAUGGCGAAAAGUUCAAGGCUAAGCUGAAUAAGAAGAUUAGGCUCAACAGUGGAGCAAGCAGUUGCAGCAGGCCUAGGGGUAGGAGUGAGCUAGAUAGGUACUUAGCUGAAGAGUGUGAAGAAGAUCAUAAAAAGUUUGAUAUUCUUGCUUGGUGGAAGGGGUAGUCUAGUAGAUUCCCCAUCUUGUCUACAUUGGCUAGAGAUGUGCUUGCUAUUCCAAUCUCCACAGUUGCAAGUGAAUCAGCCUUUAGCACAGGUGGGCGUAUUCUAGAUGAUUUUAGGAGUUCACUCACCCCAUUUAUGAUUGAAGCCCUUAUUUGCACUCAAGAUUGGCUUAGAAGAGCAACUCCCAUCAACUUAAAGGAGAAUACUGAAGAAAUUAGCAAAAUGCAAGAAGAACUUAUUCAAGAAUUCAAGGACAAAGCGAUUAUUGAUGCUCAUGCUGCGAAGUCCCAAAUUCAAGGAAGCAAAAGGAAGAUGGUUACAUCCACCAACAUAAGUUCACAGCCAAGCAAAUCCUCUAAUCCAAGCAAGUCCUCAAAGGAAAGCAAGAACAAGACAUAGGAGGUGGAGUGGAGCCGUGGAGGUGAGCACUGAGCAAGGUGGCUGUGGUCUGUCAGUUUGUGCCUUUGUGGAGUGAAGCUGUGGUCCUGUGAAAUGUUAAAUGAAGUCGUGAAGGUGGCUGUGAUUCUGUGAAAGUGCAGCUGUUCCUGUCCUGCUACUUCUUGUUUUCCCCCAUUGCAUUUCAUCUAUGCUUGAAAGUUGAAACUUAAAUAAGUGUGUAUGUGUGCUGGUGCUGCUGUGCAGCCUGUGGUUUGGACGCCUGGAGGCUUACUGUUUGUGGAUUGUUUCUUGUUUGCCUUAACAUUUGAGAGAACUAUGAUAUAUAUGUGUGCUACUGUUUUCAUUCUUCA